UGUGCUGGAAGGGAAAUUGGACCGAUUCUUUGCUGAUAACAAUGCAUUGAGGGAGGAUUUGAGAUCUUUCAUGAAUACAUUGGUAAAGGAAAAAGGCAAGGAGUUCUUUACUAAGGAUAUUGGAGUCGAGAGAUCCGAAAGAAGAGGUUUGCUAUUAGUUCCAAAGGAUCUGCCUAAUCCACAAAUGAAAGAUCAAAGCAAUAUUGAUAAUAUUGCUACUGUUGAAGAAUUUCUGAGUGCAGAAUCCAUAACCCUUGGAGCUGAUGAAGACAUGAUAGAUCACCAAGGAAAAUUUAAGCAAAAAAUAGAGAAAGAAACAGAGGAAUUUCUUGAGGAUGAUUGUGGAAUGUUUUCUCAAAUCCAAGAAGCAAUUUACAUUGAUUUUGGGAUUAAAGAUGUUCAUGAAUAGAAUUUUGAAGAUAGAAAUUCAGAAUUUCUUGAGCAUUGUGUUGUGAAGGAAGUCCAAAAUUUCCGUCAUGGCCUUCAGCAUGUGUUAACCAACCAAAAUGAGGUUCUUGUUGCUGGAGUUCGAGAAAUGGAAUGGGAUGCUAUCGAAUUGCCUUUUUCAGCUCAGAAAAUUUGCGCUUGUCACACGAAAAUUUUGCUGGAAAAUGCAAUUUCUUGGUGCAAUGGGGAUGAAUUGAUCUUACCAAAUCAAAAGGACCAAGAUUAUAAGUUCUAUUCUUGUGUAUUCUUAAUUUCCAUGGAGGAUAAAUGGGAGAAAUCAAGAAGGCUGAAGAAGAAAUUAAUCUUGAAGGGAGCUGCAUUUGUAAUUCUUAAAGAAGAUGAAUUUGAAAGAUGGAGAAGGCAGAGAAAGAAAAGGAAAUAUGAGGAAAGAAAGUACAAUUUCAGUAUAUUAGUUUUGAACAUUACAAUUCAUUAGAGAACUUAAAAUUGUAGCAGGUGUUUUAUAAUUGCAAUAUGUUUUUGCUGAUUAUAGUUCCUUUCUUCAUUCUUGAGGACAAGAA
rnacentral:misc_RNA from 1 species